rnacentral:rRNA from 1 species
UACGUAGGGUGCGAGCGUUAAUCGGAAUUACUGGGCGUAAAGCGUGCGCAGGCGGUUCGUUAAGUCAGAUGUGAAAGCCCCGGGCUCAACCUGGGAACUGCAUUUGAAACUGGCGGGCUUGAGUGUGGCAGAGGGGGGGUGGAAUUCCAGGUGUAGCGGUGAAAUGCGUAGAUAUCUGGAGGAACACCGGUGGCGAAGGCGGCAUCCUGGACCGGUAUUGACGCUGAUGCGCGAAAGCCAGGGGAGCAAACGGG